UUCUAAGGGCGUUGAAGCAUGAUCGCAAGGACAUGUGGAGCGCUUAGAAGUGAGAAUGCCGGUGUGAGUAGCGAAAGACGGGUGAGAAUCCCGUCCACCGAUUGACUAAGGUUUCCAGAGGAAGGCUCGUCCGCUCUGGGUUAGUCGGGUCCUAAGCUGAGGCCGACAGGCGUAGGCGAUGGAUAACAGGUUGAUAUUCCUGUACCACCAUUAUUCGUUUUAAGCGAUGGGGGGACGCAGUAGGAUAGGCGAAGCGUGCUGUUGGAGUGCACGUCCAAGCAGUGAGAUUGAGUGUUAGGCAAAUCCGGCACUCUUAAGAUUGAGCUGUGAUGGGGAGAGGAACUUGUUCCUCGAGUCGUUGAUUUCACACUGCCGAGAAAAGCCUCUAGCUAGAAUAACGGUGCCCGUACCGCAAACCGACACAGGUAGUCAAGAUGAGAAUUCUAAGGUGAGCGAGCGAACUCUCGUUAAGGAACUCGGCAAAAUGACCCCGUAACUUCGGGAGAAGGGGUGCUCUUUGAGGUUCACGCUUCGAAGAGCCGCAGUGAAUAGGCCCAAGCGACUGUUUAUCAAAAACACAGGUCUCUGCUAAACCGUAAGGUGACGUAUAGGGGCUGACGCCUGCCCGGUGCUGGAAGGUUAAGAGGAGUGGUUAGCGCAAGCGAAGCUACGAAUCGAAGCCCCAGUAAACGGCGGCCGUAACUAUAACGGUCCUAAGGUAGCGAAAUUCCUUGUCGGGUAAGUUCCGACCCGCACGAAAGGCGUAACGAUUUGGGCACUGUCUCAACGAGAGACUCGGUGAAAUCAUAGUACCGGUGAAGAUGCCGGUUACCCGCGACAGGACGGAAAGACCCCGUGGAGCUUUACUGUAGCCUGAUAUUGAAAUUCGGUACAGUUUGUACAGGAUAGGUAGGAGCCUUAGAAGCGUGAGCGCUAGCUUACGUGGAGGCAUUGGUGGGAUACUACCCUAAUUGUAUUGGAUUUCUAACCCGCAGCACUUAUCGUGCUGGGAGACAGUGUCAGGCGGGCAGUUUGACUGGGGCGGUCGCCUCCUAAAGAGUAACGGAGGCGCUCAAAGGUUCCCUCAGAAUGGUUGGAAAUCAUUCAUAGAGUGUAAAGGCAUAAGGGAGCUUGACUGCGAGACCUACAAGUCGAGCAGGGUCGAAAGACGGACUUAGUGAUCCGGUGGUUCCGCAUGGAAGGGCCAUCGCUCAACGGAUAAAAGCUACCCCGGGGAUAACAGGCUUAUCUCCCCCAAGAGUUCACAUCGACGGGGAGGUUUGGCACCUCGAUGUCGGCUCAUCGCAUCCUGGGGCUGUAGUCGGUCCCAAGGGUUGGGCUGUUCGCCCAUUAAAGCGGUACGCGAGCUGGGUUCAGAACGUCGUGAGACAGUUCGGUCCCUAUCCGUCGUGGGCGUAGGAAAUUUGAGAGGAGCUGUCCUUAGUACGAGAGGACCGGGAUGGACAUACCUCUGGUGUACCAGUUGUCGUGCCAACGGCAUAGCUGGGUAGCUAUGUAUGGACGGGAUAAGUGCUGAAAGCAUCUAAGCAUGAAGCCCCCCUCGAGAUGAGAUUUCCCAACUUCGGUUAUAAGAUCCCUCAAAGAUGAUGAGGUGAAUAGGUUCGAGGUGGAAGCGUAGUGAUACGUGGAGCUGACGAAUACUAAUCGAUCGAAGACUUAA
rnacentral:rRNA from 1 species